UACAGAGGUCUCAAGCGUUGUUCGGAUUCAUUGGGCGUAAAGGGUGUGUAGGUGGCGCGCUAAGUCGGGUGUGAAAUUUCGGAGCUUAACUCCGAAACUGCAUUCGAUACUGGCGUGCUUGAAGACUGGAGAGGAGACUGGAAUUCAUGGUGUAGCAGUGAAAUGCGUAGAUAUCAUGAGGAAUACCAGAGGCGAAGGCGGCUACCUGGACAAUUGAUGACGCUCAGGCACGAAAGCGUGGGGAGCAAAAGGG
rnacentral:rRNA from 1 species